rnacentral:rRNA from 1 species
AAGCUCCGGCGGUGCAGGAUGAGCCCGCGGCCUAUCAGCUUGUUGGUGAGGUAAUGGCUCACCAAGGCGACGACGGGUAGCCGGCCUGAGAGGGCGACCGGCCACACUGGGACUGAGACACGGCCCAGACUCCUACGGGAGGCAGCAGUGGGGAAUAUUGCACAAUGGGCGAAAGCCUGAUGCAGCGACGCCGCGUGAGGGAUGACGGCCUUCGGGUUGUAAACCUCUUUCAGCAGGGAAGAAGCGAAAGUGACGGUACCUGCAGAAGAAGCGCCGGCUAACUACGUGCCAGCAGCCGCGGUAAUACGUAGGGCGCGAGCGUUGUCCGGAAUUAUUGGGCGUAAAGAGCUCGUAGGCGGCUUGUCACGUCGGUUGUGAAAGCCCGGGGCUUAACCCCGGGUCUGCAGUCGAUACGGGCAGGCUAGAGUUCGGUAGGGGAGAUCGGAAUUCCUGGUGA